GCCAUCGUGGCGCAAUGGUAGCGCAUCACCUUCCUACGAUAGAGGUGGGCGUUGCGGGUUCGAUCCCCGUCGGUGGUA